CAACCUACGAUACCGGGGCUCCAGCUCGUUACACCACCAAAGCGGUCGAACACAGGAGCGCCCAAGUAUGUUAGAAAUCAGUCGAGUGAGCAUCUCCGCCACCCAACACGGCAGCUCUAAAGUUUCGAAUCAACUUCGUUUCAAACGGUGGUACGGCAAAGAGCAAAGUCUCUUUUUCGAAGAAGACGAAAUCUAUUGCAAUAUCUUUAAGAUAGCGGCGGCGUUGCAGUCGUACGUUGACACCGCGUCGUUAAACUUGACAUUGUUGGUCGCAAAGCCGAACUUCAUGAUGGCCGUACCAUCACCUACGACAAGCCUUGUUGCCACAGGUGGUAAACGAAAAUCUUUGCCAAUCCUUGAGCGGUGUCCCUAAAGAUGUCCACGAGCAAGUGACGCUGUUCCGCAACAUUCAUGACCCAGUCCUCCCUAACUAUUUGAGCCAAUGGACUUCCGAGAACGUGGAAGCGACAGACGUUAAUGUGAUGCCCAAAGCUAAUGUAGAGGGUGUAAGUUUGGAAGCCAACAAUUUAAUUAAGGUCAAUGCAACAUUGAUCUUAAACGAUGGUCAAAAGUAAAACUGACCGUAUUGUCGCUACUGCCGGUUUGAACGCAAACACGGAUUUGGCUGUUCUUCUGAUUUGGAAAUAGAUUCCAAUUUCGGUGGUUAUCGAGUCGAUGCUGAGCUUGAAGCAAGAUCGAACGUCCAGUUGGAUGGAGAUGCUGCGUUUUUUUGUGAUAGAAAAUUGGGUCAUCAUCGUAUGAAACAUCACCACCAUGCUGUUGUAUCAAGGCGAUUGGCUGGAGAGAAGAAUACUGGCAACGAAACAUGGAUGAAUAACUGCAGUGCGCUGUCCCCAAGUGCAUUCUUCGUCGUAUUAUUUGUACGCAAUCGGUUAACUACAGUGUCGUGCUGUUGUACCGUUGAUCACUGGGUUGACCUGGUGUAAUCAUGUCUCCUGGGUAUGGCGGAUACCGAACUGUAACGCCGCCGCCUUACUACACAAUAACAGCUACGCAAUUACCAGUUACUAGACCACCAAGGCACCAGGGUAUUACACCACACCUUAUGAUGCUCCAAGCUACUACACCGAAGCCCUGAAGUUCAACUCUGCCCCGAGUUACAUGAACGAAGAGGUCGAGUACUACACCAUAGUUUCCAAGUACUACACCAUCCAGGUAUUGGAUUGCUACAAGACUACGUAUGCUGCUCCAGCCUACUCUACCGAGGCUUCCAAGUACUACUCUGUUCCCAGCUA